rnacentral:misc_RNA from 1 species
AAGUCGUAACAAGGUUUCCGUAGGUGAACCUGCGGAAGGAUCAUUAACACGUUUUCCAAACGUUAUUGACCCAUUCUAUUUUCCGUGCACACACACAUGCGUCCGGCCUCCCAGCCGCCUGCCGGGUUUACUCGGUAUGGCCUGUUGGGCGUCUUUGGGAUCAAAGGAGUUUGUAGGAGUAGCUUUCACGAGCGAUUCUUGCUUUCUUCUCCCUCUGGCGUUGCCACCUCACCCAAACCCUUUAAUCUAAUCUAUCUGAACUUUUAGUUGCUGAAGGAGAGCAAUCUCUGGAUACAACGAUUACAAACAAACAACAACUCUUAACAACGGAUAUCUUGGUUCUC